GAUGAAGAACGUAGCGAAAUGCGAUAAGUAGUGUGAAUUGCAGAAUUCAGUGAAUCAUCGAAUCUUUGAACGCACAUUGCGCCCCUUGGUAUUCCAUGGGGCAUGCCUGUUCGAGCGUCAUUUGUACCUUCAAGCUUUGCUUGGUGUUGGGUGUUUGUCUCGCCUUUGCGUGUAGACUCGCCUUAAAAUAAUUGGCAGCCGGCGUAUUGAUUUCGGAGCGCAGUACAUCUCGCGCUUUGCACUCAUAACGACAGCGUCCAAAAGUACAUUUUACACUCUUGACCUCGGAUCAGGUAGGGAUCCCCGCUGAACUUAAGCAUAUCAAUAAGCGGAGGA
rnacentral:misc_RNA from 1 species